rnacentral:rRNA from 1 species
AUGUAUUUUUUUUCUACAAUCGAUUUUGUUGGAGUUUGCUAUUUUGUGGAAUUUUGCUGGAACCACAGUAAUUUCUUGCUGGAACCGGCUAUUUUUUUUGCUACAAACAAAUUUGUUGGAGUUUUGAUGUUGUGGGAUUUUUGUUGGAACCAUAGUAAAUUAUUGCUGGAACUGGCUCUGUUUUUCGAACCGGCAUCUGCAGGAGCUGCAACCGGCUGGGAGGGUGUUUUGGAGCUGCACCAGCGAGGAGAUGAUGGGAAGAGCGGCAGCAUGAUGCACGGGGGAAGGUGUUGCAAAACUCGACCGGGCGCAUCAGCGGGGAUGCUUCAAGCUCGUCGGCGGGGAUGCUUCGAGCUCGACGAUGGAGGGGGUACUUCAAGCUCGCCGAUGGCAGAGGCGGCGGGGCUCCCGUGA